rnacentral:snRNA from 1 species
AAAUGUGCUCUUUAAAAUAUUUCUCUAGUAGGUUUUCUGAAGGAGAAAGCCUCC